rnacentral:tRNA from 2 species
GUACCAUAGUCCGGGACAAGGGGAUUUUGAAAGUCUCCAAUAGUGGUUCGACUCCACUAUGAUACU